CAACAAGUAGACUUCACUCAUAUUGCCGCUGCCAGUAUGCGACUCUGGAGUGUGGCAUCUGGUAUACCCCAAAUGGCGCUGUCCGCACCCUGUGUCAAAUUGGAUCCUCCCGCUACUUCUUGAAACCCUGUGAAGGUGGAGCACGUCGACGUCUCGUUGGAAUGUGACGUGGCGUUGCGUGCCUCAGUGCACCUUCAGGUGCAACACUGACCCACACACACACAUACUCUGACAGACACACACACAUUUACACACACAUUUACACACAUUUACACAUUCUUGCACACACUCACAUCAUUUUAUUUAUUUCUACCUACCCUUGGGAGCUGGUGUGGGGCCUCUCCCUGGGGUCGAGUGGGG